UACGUAGGGUCCGAGCGUUGUCCGGAAUUAUUGGGCGUAAAGGGCUCGUAGGCGGUCUGUUGCGUCGGGAGUGAAAACUUACAGCUUAACUGUGAGCGUGCUUCCGAUACGGGCAGACUUGAGGUAUUCAGGGGAGAACGGAAUUCCUGGUGUAGCGGUGAAAUGACGCAGAUAUCAGGAGGAACACCGGUGGCGAAGGCGGCAUCCUGGACCAACACUGACACUGAGGAGCGAAAGCCAGGGAGCAAACGGG
rnacentral:rRNA from 1 species